GGGGGUGCACCGGUUUCGACUGGUACGGUCCGGAGCACAGGCUGCAGGUGGAGUGCCGAUCUCCUGAUUCGGCAACAAUUUAACUGCCGACAACGACAGUUACGCUUUCGCUGCGUAAGCAGUAGAGCGCGGAAACCGGCCCCGCCGCCCUGAGGGGCCGAAUUUCCGUCGCAAUCAGGGCUGGCCGAUUCCCGGUUCCGGACGGGGGGAAGCGAGAAACUCCCGGAAUACGGACAGGCCGCGCGCCGCAUAGCCAAGCCUGUCCCGACAAUCCGACAGGCGGCUAAACCUGUAGAGGCCUGUGUUUCGCAUAUCAGGACGCGGGUUCGACUCCCGCCACCUCCAGAA
rnacentral:tmRNA from 1 species